CGCUUUGAGGAAAGAAGGCUCCCAAAGUUGGUGGGGUCGGCUUCCCCGACGCGGGUGGCCGCAUGGCAUGCUGGGAAUUGUAGUUCGAUGCUAAUUUAGGGUUCCAGGUGUGGAGGCUCCAACAUCCAAGGUCUGACCUCAGCCUGCUCUUGCUAUUGCCUAGGCCACAGGUGAGCCGUUAUUGGCUGCCGUUAAGGACCGUUACCAUUCCCGGGUAAGUGAGAGGGCCAGAGGCCCGUGAAUAUGACCCGCCCGGAGCCCGCCUGGGUCAGGCCUUCUCGGAUGGGGGUUUCCUGCAAGAAGUCAGGUUGGCUUCUAUCCGCCGUCCUCACUCGAGACUCCUGGCAACCCCUGGUCGUUGGUAGUUCAAGGCCUCGCGAGGGAGAAGACCUGGCUGCUCUUUACUGAGCACUUAUAUGCAAGGCCCUGUGAUGAAGAAAUGAGGCCCUGAGAGGUUGGUCAGUUGCGCAGUCACAUAGCUAAUAAGUGGAGAAGUCAGUAUACAAAUUGGGAUCUAUCUGCCCCUAGACUUUCUGAACUCUUUACCACCACAAAAGUUCCGUUGUCUGAUACACACAUCUACCCAACGAAAUCAGUUAUUAGAAGGUAGUCAGAGACAUCCGCUCAGGCUGAGAGCUGUCACCCAUGCUCAUCUCUCCAGGACCAAGACUGUUGUCAACGCGAUGCCUUAUAUGCAGCUGUAGGAGAAGGAGAAAAGAUAAGCAGAGGUUGAAUGAAGGCUAAUGAAACAUGACCAAGGAAGAAUGAUUAUGGGGAAUGAGGGUGCUGGUUUCUGUGGACCCUGCCAUUCUUGCAGUUCAAAGCUUAAGUAAGAUACUCUGCCUUGUAUUUCACUGUAAACUGAGCAGUUUUUUUUUUUUUAACUGUAGAGCCUUUCUGGGAGAGAGGCAGGCAAUGGGGCUGACAUAACCAAGCUCAAAACACAAGUAUAAGACGAAAGUUCUGGAAUCCAGCACCUCUGAGAAUUUCAGAGUUAGAAAGGACCUGAGCCACACCUACUCAUUCUCUCUCUCUUUCAGGAUUUUUCAAGUCAGACUUCUCACUUAUAUUUUGUAGAAUCCAUAAAAUUUAAAUUUAUGUUUUUAAAAAGAAAUUGAGUACCUGUGAUCACUUUUUUUAAAUAACCACUUAAUAACCGUGAUUUUGGUGCCUAAGUUUCCAUUUGGGUUUACGGUCACAUUGGUACAGAAUUAUCACCCAAGGCAAAGCAAUGUGAAGUUUCCUAAAUCAAGUCUACAGAUGUUUUCUUGGGUCCCAUCAGUUCUCAUAUUUGCUCCUCUCCACUUCCCUAUAAGGGUCUUCCACUUUUAGACAGCUGCAAUUGGUGGAAAAUUGGCCAAAUUCUGCCUUACAGAGUUAUGCAGAAAUAUGUAAUCCUGUGUCAUAUGUUGUAAGAUAUUCUACAAUUAGUAUCUGGUUCCCUAAAAUUCUUCUCUUUUCCUAAACAAACCUUCCCAGCUUUCUGAACCCCUUAUCACACUAGAAUAGCAGACCCUCCCAUCUAGCCCUGCUGGCUUGUCCCACUGUACAUUCUGGCAGGUACAUCAUGUGAAGGUCGUAGAGUACAGCAGGGCCCAGAGGGUGGCUGAAGAACCUGCCAGUGAAGUUCUGGAAUUUACUCCUACCGUAGACA